ACGGAAGGGAAUCGCCCCCGGUGGGGCGGCCGGACUUCAAACCCGGUAGGGGCCGCUGGCGGUCCUUUGUGGGUUCGACUCCCACUCUCUUCCGCCA
rnacentral:tRNA from 1 species